AACAUAGAGUACACAUUUCCUGUUUUCUUUAAGAAUUAUUCUCUUGCAGAGCUAUGUUUUUUGUUUUUGUUUUUCUAUCCUUGGCAGAGUUUUUUAACAUGGAUUUUUUACUUCACUUUUAAUAUUUUAUUUACAUUUUAUAUUUGAGUAAAUUCAUUACUAUAUCUAAGUCAAAAUGCUUAAUGGUAUAUAGGAUUCCACUAUAUGUGAUAUACUUUGAAAAUCAAUUUCCUACGGUUGAAUAGUUUAUUUCCAAUGUUUCAAUAUUAACAACUCUUCAAGGAACAUCCUAGGACAAAUAUCUUCAUAUACUUGUCUGAUUAUUUCUUUAAGAUUCGUAAAAG
rnacentral:snoRNA from 1 species